UUGGGGGACCACGAACCAGAAGGGGUGACUUUCUACCAGGCUUCCUGGCUACCUCCCUUCCUCAGCUUCUCAGCUCCAACUGUGGAGACAGGCUGUCUGUGAGACAGAUGGAAUCUGGACUUCACAUUCUCGGGCAUUGUGUUGGUGAUAAGAUUCCCUACCCAGCCAAGAUCUCUGAAAUCAGCCAUUCUGAACCUUCACAGAAUCCUGUAGCUCACGUACUUCUGCUCUUGCCUGGGCUUUUGCACCCCUCUCACGUCCCGCCCCACUCCACCCUCUUUGCCUUGGUUUCAGAGCUGAAACACGUUUUGGGGGCUAAGCCUUCUCCAAGGUUGGUUUGCCUAGGUCUGGUUUGUUCCUGGCGAGGCUGAGGUAGUGCACACAGGCAGAAGUGGGAAGGAGAAGGCCACCGGGUGCAGACUGGCAGACGUAAUCUGCUUCUACUUCCCAGGCUCCAGUAGGCCUCUGUUCUAAAUGCUGGUGACACAUCUGGACUUCUUCACUCCUCCCUUCCCAUGUCAAGGCUUCAGGUUAACGAACACCAGCUGUACAGGAAGUCCUGCACUAAGCUCUUGGACUGAGAGGCACCAGCAUCCUGGAGGCCAACCGCAAGGUCGCUCUUUAAACAAGAAGAUAACAACUCAAAACAGCUCCAGGAAGUCCCUGAAACAGACCAGAUUCACAGGCCCUUCCCUGCCAGAAUGAAGUUUAAAAGCUCAAAGUUACUCUCAGACUGACAGAAGCUGAGCUAACAAAGAAGACUCUGAGACCAGACCAGCUGCCUGGAAGAAGCAGAAACCAACUGAGCUGCCUAGACCAGGCUUAGAUCAGUUACUUGGAAAGGACACUUCGACUUGUUGAGUUAUCUGCAGGCUGUUCAGUGUGCUUCAUGUUUCUAGCUUUUGUGAACUGUCACCUGUGCUAGGAUGAGCUUUGAUGAUGCAGCUGUCUUUGAGUCAUGUCUCCUCCUGUAAGUAACCCCAAUAACACUUAUUGGUUUACCAA